rnacentral:rRNA from 1 species
GAUGAACGCUAGCUACAGGCCUAACACAUGCAAGUCGAGGGGCAGCAUUAUUUGUAGCAAUACAGAUAGAUGGCGACCGGCGCACGGGUGAGUAACGCGUAUCCUACCUUCCCCUGUCUCGGGUAUAGCCUUCCGAAAGGGAGAUUAAUCCCCGAUGGCGUCAAGAGGCCGCAUGGCAUCCUGACUAAAGCGUAAGCGGACAGGGCUGGGGGUGCGUCCCAUUAGGUAGUUGGCGGGGUAACGGCCCACCAAGCCGACGAUGGGUAGGGGUUCUGAGAGGAAGGCCCCCCACAUUGGAACUGAGACACGGUCCAAACUCCUACGGGAGGCAGCAGUGAGGAAUAUUGGUCAAUGGCCGAGAGGCUGAACCAGCCAAGUAGCGUGGAGGAUGACUGCCCUACGGGUUGUAAACUCCUUUUAUAAGGGGGUAAAGGCGUCUACGUGUAGAUGUUUGCAAGUACCUUAUGAAUAAGCAUCGGCUAACUCCGUGCCAGCAGCCGCGGUAAUACGGAGGAUGCGAGCGUUAUCCGGAUUUAUUGGGUUUAAAGGGAGCGUAGACGGGAUGUCAGGUCAGCUGUGAAAGUCUGCGGCUUAACCGUAGAACUGCAGUUGAAACUGGCGUUCUUGAGUGCGUUCGAGGCAGGCGGAAUUCGUGGUGUAGCGGUGAAAUGCAUAGAUAUCACGAAGGACUCCGAUUGCGAAGGCAGCCCGCCAGCCCGCUACUGACGUUGAGGCUCGAAGGUGCGGGUAUCGAACAGGAUUAGAUACCCUGGUAGUCCGCACGGUAAACGAUGGACACCCGCCGUGGGCGACAUACAGUCCGCGGCCAAGCGAAAGCGUUAAGUGUCCCGCCUGGGGAGUACGCCGGCAACGGUGAAACUCAAAGGAAUUGACGGGGGCCCGCACAAGCGGAGGAACAUGUGGUUUAAUUCGAUGAUACGCGAGGAACCUUACCCGGGCUUGAACUGCAGUGGAAUUAUCCGGAAACGGAUAAGCGAGCAAUCGCCGCUGUGGAGGUGCUGCAUGGUUGUCGUCAGCUCGUGCCGUGAGGUGUCGGCUUAAGUGCCAUAACGAGCGCAACCCUUGCUGCCAGUUACUAACAGGUCAUGCUGAGGACUCUGGCAGGACUGCCAUCGUAAGAUGCGAGGAAGGUGGGGAUGACGUCAAAUCAGCACGGCCCUUACGUCCGGGGCUACACACGUGUUACAAUGGGGAGUACAGAGGGCAGCUACCGGGCGACCGGAUGCGAAUCCCGAAAGCUCCUCUCAGUUCGGACUGGAGUCUGCAACCCGACUCCACGAAGCUGGAUUCGCUAGUAAUCGCGCAUCAGCCACGGCGCGGUGAAUACGUUCCCGGGCCUUGUACACACCGCCCGUCAAGCCAUGAAAGCCGGGGGUACCUGAAGUACGUAACCGCGAGGAGCGCCCUAGGGUAAAACCGGUAAUUGGGGCUA